UUUUAAUAGCUUAUUUAGAGUACAAUAUUGAAGAUGUUGUGGAGAUAUUUUAUCUUAAAGUAU
rnacentral:tRNA from 1 species